GACCUCCUCGGAUCGCAUCUGGAGAGCAGCUAGUGUUCUGCCAGCUUCGGAAACAGGAGGGAGAGCAAGCCAGCAGGGCACCCAUUCCAUUCCCAGCUUGCCUUGUAGCUGGUGACUGGAAGACACUCUGCCACAGCC
ensembl:snoRNA small nucleolar RNA SNORA7